UACGUAGGGUGCGAGCGUUGUCCGGAAUUACUGGGCGUAAAGAGCUCGUAGGUGGUUUGUCGCGUUGUCCGUGAAAACUCACAACUCAAUUGUGGGCGUGCGGGCGAUACGGGCAGACUGGAGUACUGCAGGGGAGACUGGAAUUCCUGGUGUAGCGGUGGAAUGCGCAGAUAUCAGGAGGAACACCGGUGGCGAAGGCGGGUCUCUGGGACGUUACUGACGCUGAGACGCGAAAGCGUGGGGAGCAAACAGG
rnacentral:rRNA from 1 species